UAAUAUUUACCUAAUAAUAAAGAGGCUAUCGCUUUCGUCGAAAAACCCACCGAGGUGAUUUUACAAAAAAGUUCUUACUGUUUAUGACAUUAAACUCGUAGUAUAUAUUAAAUAUUUUUUUAAAUACUCAUAUCUUUUAAACUGUAACUUCAAAUUUAACAUAUUAUACAUGGAAUUUGAUUAAAAAAAUAUGUAGAAUUUAAAUAUGAUAUUAUUUUAUCUGUUAAACGUUUAAUAAAAAUACUAUCUAGGGUGCAAUCUUAAUAAAUAAGUCAUUAUUCGUCUUUCUUUCAUACCGGUACUCAUCCGGGUUGGAAAUGAACACGUCAACAAAAUGAGGAUUAGAGAUGAAACUGAAGGUCACUUGACUGAUUCUUUGUACGUAUUAAAUCUACAUGCAAGCCGUGUUAAAAUAGAAGACCUGUGAAAUUUUGAACUGCAUUUUUGUAAGAUAAGACCAUCUUUAUUUGUAUUGUAACUAUAAAUUCUCAAAUUAUAGACAUUUUUUAUAAAUUAAGAGCGUGUGCCGUGUGGUAUUUCUUUCUCCCGUUGCAACGCAUGGGCCCUUUUGCUAUUCUCCCGUGGCUUCCGUCGGAAAACCCACCGCGACAUUUUUAUAAAAAAGCCCCUGUAAUUUUUGUUAUUCAACCCGCGCUUCAUCAUUUAUCUGCAACGCAAAAGGAAAAAAACGAUUCGCUGCAAAAAUUAUACCCGUACGCAUCCGC
rnacentral:lncRNA from 1 species